AUAGCCUGGACACGACAGUAACCGCUGGACCUCUCAGGAGACAGACUGAAAACUGUGUGUGCGUGCUAGGGUCUCUGUGAUGGACAUGGAGGGAGGAGGGAGACAGCCCCAUGGGGUGAGGUUGCCUCUGAGACUUGAGUAACAUUGUUUCAAAUCUUAAAAUCCCUUGGAGCUUGCUGCCAAAAUGUGUCUGAAAGUGUCUCAAACGUGAAAAAAGCCGAGGACCUCUGACACAGUGGCUUGGACGCUCUGGCUGUCAACUUGAGCAGAUGUUGGUUCAUCCUGUGUCCACCCCUUCUGUCUGUCCUGGGAUCCAGACAGGACUCCAGCCCUUGCCAGGGUGCUGCGGGGACACGCUCAGGAAAGCACACUGUCCAGCACCCGGCACACCGCAAACCCAGCGGGGAUGUGGCCGAUUUUCAUUUCUCCUUUAUAUGUCCCCCUUCCAUAUUUUCUAGGAUGAGGCAUUUGUUUUACCAUCAGAAUGAAGACAAACAUUGAAAGAAGACGCAGCUGGUCACAUAGGUGGCUUUGUCAUUGAUUGCUGUCUAACAAUUGUAGUGUAUUGAUUUAAGGCAAGACGUGCUUAGUGUCGACGGUUCCCGUGGGUUGGGAGUACAGAUAUGGCUCAGGGGGCCUCUGCCAGGGUCCUGAGGCUGCCGGCCAGGUGUCAGCCAAGCCGUGCCUCCGCUGGAGGCCUGACUGGGGAAAAUCGGCCCUAGGCUCACUUGAGUGGGCAGAAUUCAUUUCCUCAGGGCUGUGGGACGGAGGCCCCUCAGACCCAGAGGUCACCCGAGGCUUUUUGCGGUGGGUUUCCCCACAUGGCGCUUACCGUGUCAGCUGGCACAGAGCCCUGCUAGCAGGACAGAGCCUUACUCAUGUGGCCGGAUGACGGCCUGGCCUCCUGGCACCUUUGCCACCUUCUUGGUUCAAAGCCAAGUCACAGAGCUGCUCACCCUCCAGAGAGGGGCUUAUGCAGGAGUGAAGACCAAGGGCAGCCAUGGGUGCUCCUGAGAGUCUGUCCUCCAUGGUAGGUCGACCUUUUUGAAAUAAAUGUCAGAGUCCUAAA